rnacentral:rRNA from 1 species
UGAGGAAUAUUGCACAAUGGGCGAAAGCCUGAUGCAGCGACGCCGCGUGGAGGAUGAAGGUCUUCGGAUUGUAAACUCCUGUUAAGCGGGAAGAAAUACCCACUAGUAAUAUGAGUGGGGGAUGACGUUACCGCUAGAGAAAGCACCGGCUAACUUCGUGCCAGCAGCCGCGGUAAUACGAGGGGUGCAAGCGUUAUUCGGAAUAACUGGGCGUAAAGGAUGCGUAGACGGCUUGUUAAGUCUGUUGUUAAAUUCCCCGGCCUAACCGGGGCUCAGCAAUAGAAACUGGCGAGCUAGAGGAUGGAAGAGAGAAGUGGAAUUCUCGGAGUAGCGGUAAAAUGCGUAGAUCUCGAGAGGAACACCGAUGGCGAAGGCAGCUUCUUGGUCCAUUCCUGACGUU